CUCCACUCGUGUGCAAAAAACAUGACCAACCAUUUGAUUCUGCUGACAAUAAUUUCAUUUUCCUUUCCCUCUGUCAGGAACUGUGUGAGAAUUUACAAAAUGAUUUAGAAAUGCCAAGAAGAAGAGAUAGAACAUAUCAAAAACUUGCUGGUAAGAAAAAUGCAAUCUUCAAGAAAUGGGAACAAAAGGGCAAUUUUUAAUUUUAGUAUCUGAAGUUUUGAUUAUUUGUAGCAGUUAUGAUAAACAUAAAAUUUGUAUGUGAACAGUUGAAGUCCUCUGGAAGUUGGGAGGAGCAAGAACAUGGUCCUUGUUCCAACCAUAUCCUAGCUGUGAAAAUGGAUAUUACGAUGGAUUCUGAAGAGGUUGUCGGCAGCCAUCCUAAUGGAGAAGCGGAUCAAGAGGCUCGAAAUGCUUCGACAACAUGGUAAUGUAAAUGAAUCUCAUCUCCAAUAUGAUUGAUCUCUGAUUAUGGUUAAGCUAUUAAAUAAAGACAGUGAGAUUUGAACCC